rnacentral:rRNA from 1 species
AGGAAAUAGAUACCCCGGUAGUCCACGCCCUAAACGAUGUCAACUAGUUGUUGGAGGAGUAAAAUACCUUUAGUAAACGCAGCUAAACGCGUGAAAGUUGACCGCCUGGGGAGUACGGUCGCAAGAUUAAAACUCAAAGGAAUUGACGGGGCCCGGCACAAGCGGUGGAUUAUGUGGAUUAAUUCGAUGCAACGCGAAAAAACCUUAACCUGGCCUUGACAUGCCACUAACGAAAGCAGAGAUGCAUUAGGUGCCCGAAAGGGAAAGUAGGACACAGGUGCUGCAUGGCGUGUCGUCAGCUCGUGUCGUGAGAUGUUGGGUUAAGUCCCGCAACGAGCGCAACCCUUGCCAAU